GUCAGAGGUGUAUAGGGGACAGGUGAGUCAUCGAAUCUUUGAACGCACAUUGCGCCCUGUGGUAUUCCGCAGGGCAUGCCUGUUCGAGCGUCAUUACAACCACUCAAGCCUGGCUUGGUAUUGGGGUUUGCGGUUCCGCAGCCCCUAAAACUAGUGGCGGUGCCGGUGUGGCUCUACGCGUAGUAAUUCUUCUCGCGAUGGAGUUCCCCUGGAUACCUGCCAGAACCCCCCAAUUUUUACAGGUUGACCUCGGAUCAGGUAGGGAUACCCGCUGAACUUAAGCAUAUCAAUAAGCGGAGG
rnacentral:misc_RNA from 1 species